AGUCUCCUCACGAAUUUCGCCAGCAGCGGCUGGGUUCCAAAGGCCCAACAGCGGACGGUUGGCAACGCGCGUGUUUGCGCGCCACAAAGCAAACAUAUCACAAAAAGAAAAAUAAAGAAAAAAGAAAUAAAAAAUAGAAAGAAAUAGGCGAAUAAAAUAUCACAAAGAGACUUUGGCCACAUUUCAUUUGGAAAAUGAGAACGAAAAAUGUAAUUGAGUUUUCGCAUUCAAUCAAAUAAUAAUCAAACAAAGAGGAAAACGAAAACAAAAUUGAAAAAAAGGAGACUCACGUGCGAUUGGUCGAGUGCGCACAAUCGAAUUAUUUAUAAAGCCAAUUAAAUCAUUAAUUAAUUAAUCCGAACGAAAGCGAAAUCAUGUUUGGCUGCAUUUACCAGCUCUGGGAUUGGUUGGAGGCGCCACCGCUCUUCACAGGCGGCACCAUGGACCCAAAGAAGCUGCAGCAGUUGCAGCUGCAGGCGGCAACGGCCCAGCAACAGAAGAAGCUGCCGCUGGCCUAUCAAACCAAUCUGAUUGACUAUCGCACAGCGACACAUUCGCCCGCCGGCUACCACCUGGCACCGCAAUCGAUCUACCAGCAGUCCCCCACGGCCACCUCGUCCAGCGGCGGCGGUCCACUGUCGCCCAUCGACAUGCAGCCGCAGGCCAAGCACGGCCUGCUCAAGCAUCAUGGCUAUGGCGGCAACUCCAGCAGCUCGCACAGCUCUCCCUAUCACCAGUCGUACACGAGCAGCGCCGGCACCGGGGACCAGCUCUAUCAGUCGCCCACGGAGCGCACGUAUCUGGCCGCCGCCGGGCGGCUGCAGGCGAGCAAUGCGACGGCGGGCCAUCAUCCCAUCUCGGCGCUGCAGGCGCAGUACCAGCAGCUGCAGCAGGCCAAGAUGCAGGCGCAGCUGGCCACGCAGAGCGAGGCGGCUCAGCAGCAGCAGCGCACGUUUGCCAUGCGCCAGGCCAUGAAUCCGCCCACGGGCCACUACCACAUGAGUCAAUCCUCUAGCAUGGUGUCCAACAUGACACUGCAACAGCAGCAGCAGCAGCAGCAGCAGCAGCAGCAGCAGCAACAACAACAACAGCAGCAGCAACAGCAGCAACAACAACAACAGCAGCAGCAGCGGGCUCCACCGUCUACACUUAAUUUGGCUAAUCAAUAUCAAGCUGCCUCGGGUCCGUUGAAGCUGCAGCAGCAAAUGCCAAAACAUUAUCAGGAGCAGCUCUAUGCCCAGCAGCAGCAGCAGCAGCAGCAGCAAUUGCAAUUGCAGUUGCAUCAACAGCAACAGCUGCAACAACAACUGCAGCAACAGCAACAGCAGCAGCAACAACAACGGCAAAAGCAGGAGCAGCAAACGCCUGGCAGCGAGCAUGGACCCGUUUACAUCCAACAGAAUCAUCCCGGUCAUGUGGUCAAUCAGGCCUGUCAGACGCAAAUCUCAACUGUGGUCAAGCCCAAGCCCACGCCCAGCUCAGAGGAGUCCUCGUCGGCCUCCACGCGCAGUCCCACCCAUGCGCCGCUGGAUCGCAAGAAGAGUAUCGGCUCCAUACAGGCGCUCAAAUCUCCGAUCACCAAGCGUCCACCCACCACGCCCGUCACCCUCUCCGGCUGGCUGCACAAGCAGGGCUCCGACGGGCUGAAGGUGUGGCGCAAGCGCUGGUUCGUGCUGGCCGAGUACUGCCUCUACUACUACAAGGGCCCGGAGGAGGAGAAGCUGCUGGGCUCGGUGCUGCUGCCCUCGUACCGCGUCUCCGCCUGCCUGCCGGAGGACAAGAUCUAUCGCAAGUUCGCCUUCAAGUGUGAGCACCAGAACAUGCGCACCUAUUGGCUGGCCGCGGACAGCGCCGACGCCAUGAUGCAGUGGGUGCGCGCCUUGUCGGCGGCCAGCCUCAUGCAGGCGCCGAGCAGUGGCGAGUCGGAGCCCAGCGUCAGCUCCUCGCUGAAUCACAGCGGGGAGAACUCGGACUCGGGCAUCCACACGCUGCAGUCGCAGCCGGGCAAGGGUCAGCUGACGCCCGCCUCGGACAAUGCGGGCAACGGCAAUGGGGCUCAGCCCCUGUAUGCCAAUGCACCGCCCAAGCCGCGCCGCAUCAACGACGGCGGAUACUCCUCGCCGUCGCCCGAGCACAAUGAGCAGCAGCCAGUGCCACCUAGUCGUCGCAGUGGCGCCACCGGCGGCUCUGUCGGAGCCGGCGGCAUGCUGUCGCCCACGCAGCAGCUGUACCAGCAGAGAUCUCAGCAGCAGCAGCAACAGCAGCAGCCACAGCAGCAUCAUGCCAUCUACGAUACGCGCACCGGACACGUGUCGACGGCGCUGCAGCUGCAGCAGGCGCAGCAGCAAUACUCGCUGGAUCACCUGGAGGCGCAGUUCCAGCAGCAGCAUCUCGACAUGGAGGAGCAGAUAGCGCGACUGCAGCAGCAGCGCGCCGUCGAGGAGAUCUACGGCGAGCGAGACCUCUACAUGGCCAAGCUGAUGCAGCGUGGCGCCUACCCGACCCAGCAACAGUUGCAGGCGGAGCGCCGCACGCCGGACGCCUACGGCCGUUCCAAGCAGCAGCGUCUGUUCGCAGCAGCUGCUGCCGCGGCGGACUACGAGGAUAUCUACAAUAUGUCGCAGCUGGCAGGAGCCGGCGGCGCACUGUCUGCACAGGAGGCACUGCUGCAGGAGGCGGCCAGCUACAGGCGGCCCCUCAGCCCGCCCAGCUACGAUGGCAGCAAGCAUGUGCCGGCCAUGCCUCAACGCUACACGCCCAACCACAUGGAGCCAACGGCCGCCGAUCAGCUAAUCAAUAACCUGGACUUGCGCGCCCGCACCGCUGCGGCCAUCGUGCGUCCGCACUCCGCCGACUUCUUGGAGUAUGAGGCGCGUGCCGAGGCGGCUGCAGCUGCCGCCGCCGCUGCUGUGGCGCAGAGCAAGCACGAGACAGGACGCGCGCCUCGACCCAAGUCGAGCUUGGACAUAAAUCGCACGCCCGACAGCUUCUACUACUCGGAGGCCAGCUACGCGGAGAAGAUGCGCAAGAGUGCGCUCUACUUGCAGAGCGGCGGCGGUGGUGCUGGCGGUGCUCAGCCACAGCAGGCGGGCAGCUAUCGCACCGCCAGCGGCGUCGCUGGCGAAUUCGGCAGCGGCCUGCACACCAUUGGCUACGAGAAUCCCUAUGAGCGGGCGUACAAGCGCCAGGAGCUGCUGGCCGAGGCGCAGGCACAGGGCAGCGCUGCAUGCAGCAUGCCACGCAUGAGUCGCUCGGCCAGUCAGGGUGCGGGCGGCGGUGCUGCAGCGCGUUCCGUGUCCUCGCACGCAAAGCAGCAGCAGCUGUCACAGGAUGAGGAGUUGCCGCCGCUUAACGUGCAUCCGGGCUCGAUAUUCCCACCCUCGAUGUCCACGCAAGAGAUCAUCAGCAAGAACGAGCAGUUCCUGCGCUCGGCCAGCGCCCGGCUGCCCAAGCGUAACGGCGGCCUGGACGACGACUAUUCCACGGCCAACAAUUCGCUGGCCACCUCGCCCACAGCGGGCGCAGCGCCAUCUCCGCAGAAUCCGCUGGAUGGCGAACGCAAGCGCGAGGAGUCCAUGAAGCGCCUGCUGGAGUGGAAGCAGCGCAUGCUGCAGUCGCCGCUAACACGCAAGGGCGUGCAGCAGGGCGGCAGCAAUAUGUCCGCCAUGUCCAAGCUGGGCAGCAAUCCGAACAUAUUGCUCGCCUCCACGGCGGUGGCUAGCGGUGCUCGCUAUGCACCGCUGGCGGGCAAAACGGGCCUGGCUGCCACGGCUGCUGGUGGCACGGCAACCACAAGCUCUGUCGGCGCAACGGCAGCCGGCGCCAGCUCCGCGGGCAUUCAGCGCUCCAGAUCGGAAACGCAUGCGAAUAUGGGACCAGGCGGUGUCUACAACAGUUACUCCUCGGACGAUGAGGCCUCGAUUUCGGUGCGCAACGUAAACAAUUUGCCCAAAGGCAAUCUAACUGUCAAGCCGGACCCAUCGGAUGCACUGCAGCUGCAGCAGCAGCCGCACGAAUCGGCAUUCGCCCACUAUGAUCCCUACUAUGGCAAUGCGACGGAGACCAAAUACGCCAAGGCCACAGUCCUGACAGAUCGCGGUCUGUACGGUCGUUCAGCAGCCAUGGCCACAUCGACGCCACAACAACAACAGCAACAGCAACAACUGCAGUUUGGCAUGCGUCGGGCUGGCAGUCGAGCUGAAAUUGAUAUGCUGGAGCGUGAGACGAGCUCACAGAUAAGGAAUCGGCUGCGCGGCGCCGAGGGACUUACCCGUGCGGAGAGCAUACAGCGCUUGGACUACUUGAAGCAGCAUUUGCUGGACCUGGAGCGGCAGUAUGAGAAGAGUAAGCCGCUGGUCAAUCUGGUGGACAAUAUGGUCAAGCUGGGCUCGUUGUAUCGCAACGAUGCCAAUGGCCGUGCUCAGCCGGCGACCAUGGAUCGGCUGGAGUUCAAUCAGCGCAUGCAGGAGCGUCAGAUGCUGCAGGAGGAGCAGAAGCAAUGGGAUCGACUCAGUCCCAAUCAGACAGAGCUGCAGGCCAAGGUGCGAGAGCUCUAUCAGUUGGAUCAGCUGCUGCAGGAGGAGUCGGGCGUAUUGCAGAGCCUGCAGCGUGACAAGGAGGAUUUGGAGCGCGCCUUGGGCGGACUACGGGCACGCAUACACGACAACAAUGCCACGCCCAUGGCCCUGGAGGCGGCCAAGAAGCAGCAGCAUAUACUGGAGCGCGAGCUAUCGCGUGUGCAUCAACUGCUCGCCGAGAACUCUAAGAAACUGGAGCAGACUGUGGCGGGCAAUGCUCGCCUGGAGCAGGAGCUGCUCACAUUACGCCAGAAGGUGCAGUCGACGCGCAGCAACGGCGCCAACAGCGAUGCCAGUCAGCUGAAUGGCAACCAGACGGCAGCAGUGCUGCAGUCGGAGCUGGAGCGGGUGCAAUCUCUGGUGGGGGAUAUGCAGCGGCAGCGGCAUGAGCUGAGCUCGGCCGUGCGACAGUUGACGGAGAACUCGACGCGUUUGUAUCAGGAAAUCGGCAACAAGGAAUUGAGUCCGACGAACGGAACGGGCACCUCGAACGGCAGCCUGAAGAAGCGCAGCAAUUCGAGCAGCUGGACGGAAACCGAUUUGGAUGCCAACAUGCUGCACAAUGGCAGUCAGCAGCAUCUGAAUGACUCCACGCUGAAUCUGUCGACGCCGCUCUACGUGGACACCAAUAGCAGCGCCAAGUUGGGCGACUACAAUCGCUAUAAUGGCAGCAGCGAUGCUCUGGAGUUGAGCGGCGUUGAUAGCGAUGGUUUCCUGGACAGCAAUCCCUUUGCCAAUCUGAGCAAUCUGGAGAAGCAGGAGAUCAAAACGGUGCGCAUUGUCAAGCGGGAGUCGGAGCGGCGACAUCGCGACCGCAGCGAGCGUGGCCUGAGCAAUUCCACACAGAAUCUCGACCAGGUGCUGGAGGAGGAGCAAUACGCCCAGCAGCUGCAGCAGCAGCAGUAUGCUCAGAGCCUGGAGGAGCAGAUGAGCAAUGGCCAUCACAGCCGGUCCAAGUCUUUGCCACGCAGCUACAACGAGCCGCCAAAGCCCAGGCACAGUCGCCACAUGAAUGGCAAGCAGAACGGACACCACUUCAACGGCGGCGGCUCCGACUAUGAUCGCAAUAGCAACUACGAGCACGAGGCACCGCCGCCGCCAGCGCCCCAGAGCAAUGGCCACCACCACCAUCAUCAGCAGCAGCAGCAGCGCGAGCAUCUGAAUCCUUUGGCCAACGCAUACUUUGCCAAGCAACUGCAGCAGCAGACCCAUCCCAGUCGGGACAGCGCACGCGUGGCGCUGCGCACCAAGACCGAGUCGCUGCAGAGUCUCAACAAGAGCCUAACAGACAUUAGCCCAGAGCCGGUGUUCCAGAGUGUGGCCGCUCGCCAGAUCAUCAACGAAAUGUCCGCUGGCUCCGCCUCCGAGGAUACAGAGAAGAUUGUGGAGCGCGUGCCACCGCCACACAAACAUCGACGCGCUGUGCCGCGCGAGAAGCGACGACACUACACGGCGCCCAAUAAUGUCAACCAGAAGGCCAUGGAGAAGGUGCAGGCCGAGAACGAUAUGAAUCGCAAUAACACCAACUGGCGCGCACGUGAUGAUCUCGACAUGGAGGUGGCGUUGCGUCCACGCAUGAAUGCGCCCGAUGUGGUGCGCUCAGCUCUGGGACAGGGCGAGAAGAUCUCCGAGAAUACCAUAGACAAUUUGCUGCUGGCGCCCAAUAAGAUAGUCAUACCCGAGCGUUACAUACCAGAAACAACGCCCGAACUGUCGCCUGAGGAGAAGAAGCGUCGCCAGGAGAAGGUCGAGUCCAUUAAAAAGAUGCUCGCUGAAGCGCCCAUUAGCAGCAAUGAGAGCGAAACGCUGCCUGCCAGCAAGAUCAAUGCGGAGAAGAAGCAGCGCGAGCAUUUGCUGCAGCUUAAUCAAAUUUUGGCCCAGCAAGUCAUGCAAGUCAGCAAAAUUGUUGCCGGCAAUCCCACUAGUCACAACUAACUCCAUUUAAUAGCCUGUCGUGUUGUUUAUGUUUUUGUUUUACCAAUUGUAUACAUUUUUUUGUGUUAUUUGUUUGAGUUGAAAGAAAAUGACGAAAGAAAUGGGCCAAAUAUGUGAUGUAAUUCGACUUACAUAUGCAUAUGCUACACUUAUACUAUAUACAAUAAGAGCAACAGCAACAACAACAACCACAACAACUACAUUACAUAUAACCACAACCACAACAACAACAGCACAGCAAGAAUUCACGCGACGUUGAGAUUAUCGCAUGCUAAGCUCACUAAAAACAAAAAACAAAAAAAUCAGUUCAAAGCAAUCACAAAAUACUAAACGACAAAAACAACAACAACUAAGCCAUUGCAACAACAACAACAAGUACAAUCAGCAACAACAACAAGCACAACAGUUAAACAAAUGCGUAAGUCAAGAGAAAGCCAUGUCGAAGUCGGCCAAUGGACAAGGCGGCCAGCCAGGCAGCGAUGAGGAGCGCCGCUCGGAGUCGCCAAGUGAACC
rnacentral:misc_RNA from 1 species